rnacentral:rRNA from 1 species
CACGCAGGCGGUUUUUUAAGUCAGAUGUGAAAGGUACCGGCUCAACCGGUGACAUGCAUUUGAAACUGAAAGACUUGAGUAUUGGAGAGGCAAGUGGAAUUCCUAGUGUAGCGGUGAAAUGCGUAGAUAUUAGGAGGAACACCAGUUGCGAAGGCGGCUCUCUGGACUGUAACUGACACUGAGGCACGAAAGCGUGGGAGCAAACA